rnacentral:rRNA from 1 species
GACGAACGCUGGCGGCGUGCCUAAUACAUGCAAGUCGAACGCACGACAUCGGGAAGUUUACUUUCUGGUUUAGUGAGUGGCGGACGGGUGAGUAACACGUGGGUAACCUGCCCAUUAGAGGGGGAUAACACUUGGAAACAGGUGCUAAUACCGCAUAAUUAUUUUAAUCGCAUGAUUGAGAUAUGAAAGACGCUUUCGGGUGUCACUAAUGGAUGGACCCGCGGUGCAUUAGUUAGUUGGUAGGGUAAUGGCCUACCAAGACGAUGAUGCAUAGCCGACCUGAGAGGGUGAUCGGCCACACUGGGACUGAGACACGGCCCAGACUCCUACGGGAGGCAGCAGUAGGGAAUCUUCGGGCAAUGGGACGAAAAGUCUGACCGAGCAACGCCGCGUGAGUGAAGAAGGUUUUCGGAUCGUAAAACUCUGUUGUUAGAGAAGAACAAGUGGGAGAGUAACUGUUCCCGCCUUGACGGUAUCUAACCAGAAAGCCACGGCUAACUACGUGCCAGCA